GUUGCUGUGGUGUAGUGGUUAUCACGUUAGUCUUACACACUAAAAGGUCCCCAGUUGGAUCCUGGGCAGCAACAUAAUUAAUAUUUAAUCAUCUUUUUAAUCCUCCUUCUAUAUAUGAUACAAGUUUUACUUAUAUUUGUUAUCUAUAUACAAUUAUAUCAAGGUUGCUGUGGUGUAGUGGUUAUCACGUUAGUCUUACACACUAAAGGUCUCCAGUUCGAUCCUGGGCAGCAACA
rnacentral:tRNA from 1 species